rnacentral:rRNA from 1 species
AUUGAACGCUGGCGGCAGGCUUAACACAUGCAAGUCGAGCGGAGAUGAGGUGCUUGCACCUUAUCUUAGCGGCGGACGGGUGAGUAAUGCUUAGGAAUCUGCCUAUUAGUGGGGGACAACAUUCCGAAAGGAAUGCUAAUACCGCAUACGUCCUACGGGAGAAAGCAGGGGAUCUUCGGACCUUGCGCUAAUAGAUGAGCCUAAGUCGGAUUAGCUAGUUGGUGGGGUAAAGGCCUACCAAGGCGACGAUCUGUAGCGGGUCUGAGAGGAUGAUCCGCCACACUGGGACUGAGACACGGCCCAGACUCCUACGGGAGGCAGCAGUGGGGAAUAUUGGACAAUGGGGGAAACCCUGAUCCAGCCAUGCCGCGUGUGUGAAGAAGGCCUUAUGGUUGUAAAGCACUUUAAGCGAGGAGGAGGCUACUGAGUCUAAUACUCUUGGAUAGUGGACGUUACUCGCAGAGUAAGCACCGGCUAACUCUGUGCCAGCCGCCGCCGUAACAC